rnacentral:tRNA from 1 species
GGGCUCAUAGCUCAGUUGGAUAGAGCAACGGAUUUCUAAUCCGUAGGUCGUAGGUUCGAAUCCUACUGGGCCUGCUA